UGACACUCUGGAAUGAGACUGAAUGUUGCU
rnacentral:piRNA from 1 species